rnacentral:rRNA from 1 species
GAUGAACGCUGGCGGCGUGCCUAAUACAUGCAAGUCGAGCGAACGGACGAGAAGCUUGCUUCUCUGAUGUUAGCGGCGGACGGGUGAGUAACACGUGGAUAACCUACCUAUAAGACUGGGAUAACUUCGGGAAACCGGAGCUAAUACCGGAUAAUAUUUUGAACCGCAUGGUUCAAAAGUGAAAGACGGUCUUGCUGUCACUUAUAGAUGGAUCCGCGCUGCAUUAGCUAGUUGGUAAGGUAACGGCUUACCAAGGCAACGAUGCAUAGCCGACCUGAGAGGGUGAUCGGCCACACUGGAACUGAGACACGGUCCAGACUCCUACGGGAGGCAGCAGUAGGGAAUCUUCCGCAAUGGGCGAAAGCCUGACGGAGCAACGCCGCGUGAGUGAUGAAGGUCUUCGGAUCGUAAAACUCUGUUAUUAGGGAAGAACAUAUGUGUAAGUAAAUGGGCACAUCUUGACGGUACCUAAUCAGAAAGCCACGGCUAACUACGUGC